GCAACAAAUAGCACAAGGUCUAUCAAAGAAAUCGAAUCGACGUAAAAUACGUCCCAAUGAAAUUCACACUCUUCUUCAUCUCAGCUUUGGCUUUCCUCUGCCUCUCAUCAUCACAAUUCCUUCUUUGGGAAAAAUCCCAGGACCUAGACUCUGACACUACUACAGAACCUGCACCAAAGCCAACAGAAUAUUGCAAAUGUGUUGGAGAGAAAGGAGAAAUGGGAGAACCUGGAAUAGAUGGGCAAAAUGGUACCCACGGAUUAACUGGUCC